UACAGAGGUCUCAAGCGUUGUUCGGAUUCAUUGGGCGUAAAGGGUGCGUAGGCGGCGCGGUAAGUCGGGUGUGAAAUCUCGGAGCUUAACUCCGAAACUGCAUUCGAUACUGCCGUGCUUGAGGACUGGAGAGGAGACUGGAAUUUACGGUGUAACGGUGGAAUGCGCAGAUAUCAGGAGGAACACCAAUAGCGAAGGCAGCUCGCUGGGACGUUACUGACACUGAGGCGCGAAAGCGUGGGGAGCGAACAGG
rnacentral:rRNA from 1 species